rnacentral:rRNA from 1 species
AUGAAAGAUGAGCGGCGGACGGGUGAGUAACGCGUGGGUAACCUGCCCUAUACACAUGGAUAACAUACUGAAAACGUUUACUAAUACCUGACUACAAUAUAUACUUUACGGAAUCGUAGACUAUAUCAAAGUGUUAGCGGUACUAGGACUGGACCCGCGUCUGAUUAGCUAGUUGGUGAGAUAACUGCCCACCAAGGCGACGAUCAGUAGCCGACCUGAGAGGGUGAUCGGCCACAUUGGAACUGAGACACGGUCCAAACUCCUACGGGAGGCAGCAGUUGGGGAAUAUUGCACAAUGGGCGCAAGCCUGAUGCAGCAACUCCGCGUGAACGAUGAAGGUCUUCGGAUCGUAAAGUUCUGUUGCAGGGGAAGAUAAUGACGGUACCCUGUGAGGAAGCCCCGGCUAACUACGUGCCAGCAGCCGCGGUAAUACGUAGGGGGCUAGCGUUAUCCGGAUUUACUGGGCGUAAAGGGUGCGUAGGUGGUCUUUCAAGUCGGUGGUUAAAGAUCUACGGCUCAACCGUAGUUAGCCUCCGAAACUGGAAGACUUGAGUGCAGUGAGAGGAAAGUGGAAUUCCCAGUGUAGCGGUGAAAUGCGUAGAUAUUGGGAGGAACACCAGUAGCGGAGGCGGCUUUCUGGACUGCAACUGACACUGAGGCACGAAAGCGUGGGUAGCAAACAGGAUUAGAUACCACUGGUAGUCCACGCUGUAAACGAUGAGUACUAGGUGUCGGGGGUUACCCCCCUCGGUGCCGCAGCUAACGCAUUAAGUACUCCGC